rnacentral:rRNA from 1 species
UGCUUAACACAUGCAAGUCGAACGAUGAACCGCUUUCGGGCGGGGAUUAGUGGCGAACGGGUGAGUAACACGUGGGCAAUCUGCCCUGCACUCUGGGACAAGCCCUGGAAACGGGGUCUAAUACCGGAUAUGACUGUCCAUCGCAUGGUGGAUGGUGUAAAGCUCCGGCGGUGCAGGAUGAGCCCGCGGCCUAUCAGCUUGUUGGUGAGGUAGUGGCUCACCAAGGCGACGACGGGUAGCCGGCCUGAGAGGGCGACCGGCCACACUGGGACUGAGACACGGCCCAGACUCCUACGGGAGGCAGCAGUGGGGAAUAUUGCACAAUGGGCGAAAGCCUGAUGCAGCGACGCCGCGUGAGGGAUGACGGCCUUCGGGUUGUAAACCUCUUUCAGCAGGGAAGAAGCGAAAGUGACGGUACCUGCAGAAGAAGCGCCGGCUAACUACGUGCCAGCAGCCGCGGUAAUACGUAGGGCGCAAGCGUUGUCCGGAAUUAUUGGGCGUAAAGAGCUCGUAGGCGGCUUGUCACGUCGGUUGUGAAAGCCCGGGGCUUAACCCCGGGUCUGCAGUCGAUACGGGCAGGCUAGAGUUCGGUAGGGGAGAUCGGAAUUCCUGGUGUAGCGGUGAAAUGCGCAGAUAUCAGGAGGAACACCGGUGGCGAAGGCGGAUCUCUGGGCCGAUACURACGCUAGGAGCAAAGC